UACGUAGGGGGCAAGCGUUGUCCGGAAUCAUUGGGCGUAAAGAGCGUGUAGGCGGCCCGAUAAGUCCGCUGUGAAAGUCCAGGGCUCAACCCUGGAAAGCCGGUGGAUACUGUCGGGCUAGAGUGCGGAAGAGGCGAGUGGAAUUCCUGGUGUAGCGGUGAAAUGCGCAGAUAUCAGGAGGAACACCUAUUGCGAAGGCAGCUCGCUGGGACGUAACUGACGCUGAGACGCGAAAGCGUGGGGAGCAAACAGG
rnacentral:rRNA from 1 species